AACGAACGCUGGCGGCAGGCCUAACACAUGCAAGUCGAACGGGCGUAGCAAUACGUUAGUGGCGCACGGGAGAGUAACGCGUGGGAAUCUACCUUUUGGUUCGGAAUAACGUCGGGAAACUGACGCUAAUACCGGAUAAGCCCUUCGGGGGAAAGUUUUAUCGCCGAAAGAUGAGCCCGCGUUAGAUUAGCUAGUUGGUGAGGUAAUGGCUCACCAAGGCUACGAUCUAUAGCUGGUCUGAGAGGAUGACCAGCCUCACUGGGACUGAGAAACGGCCCAGACUCCUACGGGAGGCAGCAGUGGGGAAUAUUGGACAAUGGGGGAAACCCUGAUCCAGCCAUGCCGCGUGAAUGAUGAAGGCCUUCGGGUUGUAAAGUUCUUUUGGUGGGGACGAUAAUGACGGUACCCACAGAAUAAGCUCCGGCUAACUUCGUGCCAGCCGCCGCAGUAA
rnacentral:rRNA from 1 species